GACGAACGCUGGCGGCGUGCUUAACACAUGCAAGUGGAGCGACGAACCAGGGCUUGCCCUGGGGCAGAGCCGCGAACGGGUGAGUAACACGUGGGUAACGUGCCCCGAUGGAUCGGGACAACCCGGGGAAACCCGGGCUAAUACCGAAUGUGCUCCCCUCACACCAGUGAGGGAUGGAAAGGAAGCUUCGGCCUCCGCAUCGGGAUCGGCCCGCGGCCCAUUAGCUUGUUGGUGAGGUAACGGCNCACCAAGGCUGCGAUGGGUAGCUGGUCUGAGAGGACGAUCAGCCACACUGGGACUGAGACACGGCCCAGACUCCUACGGGAGGCAGCAGUGGGGAAUCUUGCGCAAUGCGCGAAAGCGUGACGCAGCAACGCCGCGUGGGGGAANAC
rnacentral:rRNA from 1 species